UUGCUUCAGUAGCACAUAUACUAAAACUGAAAUGAUGCAGAGAAGGUUAGCAUGGUCACUGUGCAAGGAUGACACACAAAUUCAUGAAGCGUUCCAUAUUUAA